rnacentral:rRNA from 1 species
UACAGAGGUGGCAAGCGUUGUUCGGAAUUACUGGGCGUAAAGGGCGCGUAGGCGGCCUUGUAAGUCCUGUGUGAAAUCCCCCGGCUCAACUGGGGAACUGCACAGGAGACUGCUUGGCUUGAGUUCGGGAGAGGGAAGCGGAAUUCCGGGUGUAGCGGUGAAGUGCGUAGAUAUCCGGAGGAACACCGGUGGCGAAGGCGGCUUCCUAGACCGACACUGACGCUGAGGCGCGAAAGCCAGGGGAGCAAACGGG